rnacentral:tRNA from 1 species
ACUUUCAUAGGACAGAAGUAAUCCUAUGGCUUUAGGAGCCAUCCCUCCU